rnacentral:tRNA from 1 species
GGAAGGAUGCCAGAGCGGUUGAAUGGGGCGGUCUCGAAAACCGUUAUCCCGCAAGGGAUCGCAGGUUCGAAUCCUGCUCCUUCCGCCA